rnacentral:lncRNA from 1 species
UUUCUCUUCUUCUUUACUCUAUACGUUGGUGUUAUAACCAAUAAUCACCAAAGCGAUGUUCUGUCCGAUUGAUUCAGGAACCAACGAACGAAUACCAAAGUGUUGUACUUUGUGAAUUUCGGUAAACGGAAUCCAAAGUACUAUACUUUGUGAAUUUCGGUAAACGGAAUCCAAAGUACUAUACUUUGUGAAUUUUGGUAAACGGAAUCCAAAGUACUUUACUUUGUGAAUUUCGGUAAACGGAAUCCAAAGUGUUAUACUUUGUGAAAUUCGUUAAGGUUCGAAUCUCGUGAUCAUCGUUAGGUUUGAUUUGGGUUUUACACAAAUACGUAUUCCAUUCUGUUAAACUAUAUGUUUAACCAUCAGAAUACUCCCAACUAUACGCUUACAAUCAAAAUGGAUGCUUAAUCAUCAGAAGAUCCAAACUAAUAAAGUAUAUGCUUAAUUAUCAGAAGGAGUAGAAUCAAGAAGCUUGUUAAAUCAAUACUGCAUGCUUAUACUGUAAUUACAGUAGAAUGGAGUAAGGACUGGAUCCGGCACUGAAGGACUUCAAGAAGUGGCUUAUUUUAUUACUAAAUCAAAUUAAGAAAUAUUGUUUUUAUUAAAAGCUACCUUUGUAAAAUAUGGAAUUUAUUCCAUCUAUUUAAAUAAAAUCCAGUGUUUCUAAACUCUGAUAUUUUUCCUAACUCACGGGGUCCUGAUGAAAUUUCCGCUGCAAUGUUUUUCAAAAAUAACCACCGGUACCACUUGGCUGUUCGCGGCGCCCGAUUCCAUCCAGGGUGGGGUCGGGGGUCGUGACAGUUGUAACGGCAAGGGGAUUAGUUGAAGUAUCGUAGCUAAUCGAUCUUUGAGGCAGCGACGGCAAGGGGAUCAGUUGAAGUAUCGUAGUUGUUGAUCGAGUCGUUCCUCUAGGGGAAUUAUCAUUCGCUCAUUCUAGAAAACGACCCCAACAUUCAUCGGUCGUUAGAUAUCUUGGAACUUGCUGUCUGGAGUAGCUGGAGUGGUCAUGGGUCGACUGAGGAGACUCAUGCGAUUAUUUGUUUACUACUACACAUUGGUUUUUGAACAACUUAGUUAUGGUUUACUAUUUGCUUCCGCUGAACAUGAACGUUUUUGUAUAAACUUGUGAUGGAAUUUUAUUAUUAAUUCGAGAACUU